rnacentral:rRNA from 1 species
GACGAACGCUGGCGGCGUGCUUAACACAUGCAAGUCGAACGGAGCGAAUGAAAGCUUGCUUUUAUGAGCUUAGUGGCAAACGGGUGAGUAACACGUAGACAACCUGCCGACAGGAUGGGGACAACAUUCCGAAAGGAAUGCUAAUACCGAAUGAAGCGGAGGAGAGGCAUCUCUCCUCCGUGAAAGAUGGCCUCUAUUUAUAAGCUAUCACCUGUCGAUGGGUCUGCGUCUGAUUAGCUGGUUGGUGAGGUAACGGCUCACCAAGGCGACGAUCAGUAGCCGGUCUGAGAGGAUGAACGGCCACAUUGGGACUGAGACACGGCCCAGACUCCUACGGGAGGCAGCAGUGGGGAAUCUUCCGCAAUGGGCGCAAGCCUGACGGAGCAACGCCGCGUGAGUGAAGAAGGUCUUCGGAUCGUAAAGCUCUGUGACGGGGACGAACGUGCGAGAGGUGAAUAUCUCUG